GAGGAUAUAGCUCAGUGGUAGAGCACAUGCUUAGCACGCAUGAGGUCCUGGGUUCAAUUUCCACUACCCCCA
rnacentral:tRNA from 1 species